rnacentral:lncRNA from 1 species
GUAUGGUGAAAGCAUGGCUGUUGCUCAGGGCAAAGGAAAAAAGUAGAUUUGCAUACUUCCGAUGAAACUUAUCUUCUGCCGUUUAUGGGACCAGAAAUGUUACGCCCUUUUUACACCAACAUAUGAGGGAUGCAAUGAUUUGGCCGGAGCUGCAGAUAAAAAUUUGAAGAAAAUCAUAGCAUCUGUGUUCCUUCUACAGGUCUCAAUAAUUUAGCAGUUAUCCAGACACCGACAAAAGCACACUUAACAGUUGGAGACUCCACUGAAAUCACAUGUAUUUGGGAAAAAUGGAUUCGAUUGAGAGAUAUAGAGUAAGCUGGUAUCUUGUCAAUAAGGAGAACAUCACAAAAACUGUAACGUCAGACGUUGUCUACCUAUCCAGUGUCACCCGCGAAAACAAGGAUGUGCUGGUGAUAGAAGCUGCCAAUGUAAAUAACACUGGAUUUUAUUACUGUGAGAUAAUUAUUGAAAUACCUUUCUAUGAAAGAAUGUAUGGAAAUGGAACAAUGCUGACUGUUGAAAAGAAAGGCAAUAGGGAUGGUGCGUGUUUCACCUAACCUUAAAGAAAGAAUGUGUCAUACCUGGAGGACAAUUUACCUUACUUCUGUUACACAACUCUCAAGAUCCUGUGCGUCGCUUUUUGAUGACAACGAUGAUCUCCCUCUCCUUUUCUGUCGCAGCUGUAGAGAAAGACAAGAAGCUGACUCACUGGAGAAGAGAGGGAUGGCAAUUUUGGCCAUCAUUCCUUUCCUAGUGGCAGUGGGAAGCUUGUAUCUUUGCUACAAAAAGAAACAGAACGCAAAACUUUCUGACCAAAAAAGUGAGGAGCCAGAACAUAGCUUCGUGUAA